GACCAUGAGCUGCGCAAACUUUGCCUGAUAGAUUGGGGUCUCGCUGAGUUUUAUCAUCCUGGAAAAGAGUAUAACGUCCGUGUGGUCUCCAAGUUCUGUUAUAUAAUUUUUGUAUUUUAAUGUAAACAUGUUACAUUAUACUGUCUUUAUCAAUAACUAACCUCGAUGAAAUGUUAUCUCUUCAAUCAGGUACUUCAAGGAACACGAACUUUUAGUGGAUUUACUGGACUAUGACUAUUCCUUGGACAUGUGGAGCCUUGGUUGCAUGUUUGCUGGGAUGGUGAGUACCUUUGCUACAUUUAUAUGAUUGUCUGCAGCAUGUUUCAUAUAU
rnacentral:lncRNA from 1 species